GGCGGACGGGUGAGGAACGCUUGGGAAUCUUGCCCAUCAGCGGGGGACAACCCGGGGAAACCCGGGCUAAUACCGCAUACGCCCGAGAGGGGAAAGUGGGGGACCGCAAGGCCUCACGCGAUUGGGUUGGCCGAUGUCCGAUUAGCUAGUUGGCGGGGUAAGAGCCCACCAAGGCGACGAUCCGUAGCUGGUCUGAGAGGACGAUCAGCACACCGGAACUGAGACACGGUCCGGACUCCUACGGGAGGCAGCAGUGGGGAAUAUUGGACAAUGGGGGAAACCCUGAUCCAGCGACGCCGCGUGGGUGAAGAAGGCCUGCGGGUUGUAAAGCCCUUUCGGUAGGGACGAAAGCUCUUGCUCUAACAAAGCAGGAGGUUGACUUAACCUACAUAAGAAGCACCGGCUAACUCUGUGCCAGCCGCCGCGG
rnacentral:rRNA from 1 species